rnacentral:rRNA from 1 species
AUGGGUCGUCCUGACUCGGAGGCGCCGGCGUCGAGCGUUGCCUACGGAGGCAGCGGAGGCGCCGCGGCUCCGGCGGGGACGAGGGCAGACUCGCCUUUCGAGACCAACGUGGCGAUCAUCCUGGCCGCGCUCUUCUUCGGGCUGCUCCUCAUAAUCGCACUCAACUCGCUGGCGCGGUGCGCGCUCCGGUACGUGGGGCGCGGGGCCGCGGCCGCUGCCGGCGAGGGCCGGGCGUCGGCGCGGGUGGCCUGCAGCGGCAGCGGCAUCAAGAGGCGCGUCCUCAGGAGCCUCCCCGUGGAGGUGUACGGCUCCGGGGAGGACAUCGACGACGUGUGCGCUAUAUGCCUGAGCGAGUUCGUGGACGGCGAGAAGGUGCGCGUGCUGCCGCUCUGCGGGCAUGGCUUCCACGUCCGCUGCGUCGACGCCUGGCUGGUGUCCCACGGCUCCUGUCCCACGUGCCGGCAGCCGGUCAUCGAUGGCGCGCCCGAGAAGGCGGCAGACACGAACACGGUCGUCACCGUGGUCAUCGUGUGA